rnacentral:misc_RNA from 1 species
GAAAUGCGAUAAGUAAUGUGAAUUGCAGAAUUCAGUGAAUCAUCGAAUCUUUGAACGCACCUUGCGCUCCUUGGUAUUCCUUGGAGCAUGCCUGUUUGAGUAUCAUUUCAACCAUCAAGCCCCCGGGCUUGUGUUGGGGACCUGCGGCUGCCCGCAGGCCCUGAAAACCAGUGGCGGGCUCGCUGUCACACCGAGCGUAGUAGCAAUCACCUCGCUCAGGGCGUGCUGCGGGUUCCGGCCGUUAAACAGCCUUACAAAACCCAAGGUUGACCUCGGAUCAGGUAGGAAGACCCGCUGAACUUAAGC